rnacentral:lncRNA from 1 species
UGAAUGAAAUGCAAUAACGGGUAGUUGUUGUGCGUUGUAUCUUCGUGAUCCCCUGUUAUGUUGUGCUAUCUGUUAUGUGUUGCUAUUAUCACAACCUGAAUAGGUUGUCUGAAUUUGUGAUGGGGCUAGCUUUCGGUAACUUGUUAUUAGGUAAAGACUUGGCAAAUGUAAUCGUGAUAUGGAACUGCUCAUAUUUGGUUUCUUGAAGACUAGACAAUCCUUACUAUUCGUGUUCAUGGAUAUUAACUUUUUUAUUUUUGUUGGUUUCACUCGAGAUCACUGCAACUGGUCUGCCUGCUGGCUGGAUGCUUCGUUAGAUUAUGUGUAUGGUUUCUCUUGUCAAGAACAAAUUCUUUGACAGCAAAAUGGAUGUACAGAGAUGGAUUUAGAAAUGGAGGAGUAAUUUAUUUGUUGUAUGAUUCAACCAUAAAAUUUAUAUAUUUUCAGUGUGGAUUCAUAUAUGCUCAACAAGUUACCCCUAGUUGCACUUGCACUUAUUUAUGUUGAAGUUGUUGACGUAUAUCUAGAACGUUUACAACAUGUGUUGCCGCACAUUGUCCUCAUCAUCCAUAAUCAUGUUGUGCAAGAUUACAAAACAUGUCAUCAACUGCACAAUAUCAUUGGAUCCCACAUCAUUGCAGCUCCAUGAACAAAACCCCCAGGAUGCCGGAGCAAUCUGAAUGCCCUAUCCACAUCUUUCCUGGCACCUUCUUGCAUUCUUGCAAAAUGACAUUAUUUGUUACCUUGGCGCUUAGAUAUAGUCUUCACAAAAGCUGUCCACUGGGGACAAAUACCAUUGGCAAGGUACUAUCCAUUUUGUAGUUAUGCAUGUUGACAAUGUAGUUGCAUGCUGGAGUAUCACCAUCACAGAGUCUCUUGAACAACGGAGAUUACUAGAGCACAUUGAUGUCGUUAUGCGAACCUCGCAUGUCAAAUCUGCAAAUUCUUUGGUGCCACUGCUUCAAGCAUGAUGGUGGCCUCUUUGGUGCGACCUUGGUAUUGUCCUUGCAAACUUGUCGCGCAAUACUUUGAUAACCCACAAGUAUAGGGGAUCGCUACAGUCUUCAAGUGUAGUAUCUCACCCAAAUUUAUUAAUUCGACACAAGGGGAGCCAAAUAAUAUUUAUGAGCCUUAGCAGUUGAGUUGUCAAUUCAACCACACAUGUGAAAUUAUAUUUCUGCAGCAAAGUGUUCAGUAGCUGAUAUGUCUCCAACGUAUCUAUAAUUUUUGAUUGUUCCAUGCUAUUAUAUUAUCUGUUUUGGAUGUUUUAUAUGCAUUAAUAUGCGAUUUUAUAUUAUUUUUGGGACUAACCUUUUAACCUAGAGCCCAGUGCCAGUGUCUAUUUCCCCCCUUGUUUUUGAGUUUUACAGAAAAAAAAUACCAAACACAAUCCAAACGGAAUAAAACUUUUGCGAUGAUUUUUCUUGGACCAGAAGACACCAGAGGACUUGGAGAGGGGCCAGAAGGUUCCUGAGGAGGCCACAAGCCUCCUAGGCGCGCCGCGGGGGGGGGGCUGAGGGCUUGUGGGCCCCUCGGGAGUCCUCCAACCCUAAUCUUUCCACUAUAAAUUCAGAAAUAUCCCCCCAACAUCAGAGGCAUCCACAAAAAUACUUUUCCACCGCCGCAAGCCUCUGUUCCCGUGAGAUCCCAUCUUGGGGCCUUUUCCGGCACCCUGUCGGAGGGGGAUUCGAUCACAGAGGGCCUCUACAUCAACCUUGAUGCCCUUCUAAUGAAGCGUGAGUAGUUUACCACAGACCUAUGAGUCCAUAGCUAGUAGCUUGAUGGCUUCUUCUCUCUCUUUGAUAUUCAAUACAAUGUUCUCCUCGAUGUUCUUGGAGUUCUAUCCGACGUAAUAUUCUUUUGCGAUGUGUUUGUCGAGAUCCGAUGAAUUGUUGAUUUAUGAUCAGAUUAUCUAUGAAUAUUAUCUGAGUCUUCUCUGAACUCUUUUAUGCAUGAUUAAAUAUCUUUGUAUUUCUCUUCGAAUUAUCGGUUUGGUUUGGCCAACUAGAUUGGGUUUUCUUGCAAUGGGUACCCGCGAGUGAUGUGGAGACGGGUUGGCCAAGAAGGUGCCCGCGAGAUACUUACGAGGCGUGGCCGGACAUUCCUAGCCCCUGCCGCAAGUCCUCGAGACGGGGCAAUGGGGUCACAUCUUUCGUGAGUCUCUGCUUGUUACCACACGUUCCUAAUCCACUACGAUUUGGAUAUUUGAUCCAAGGGGCCUCUGGCCUGAUAGCACUAACCAUCACGUGGGCAUAGUAUGGGCGUUCUGCGUCGUAUACAUCAACCGAAGCUUAAUAGACAUCAGCGACUGAGCGGCGCGCGCCGGGUUGGACUGCGUAAGCACUUGCCUUUUUGAAGGAGGUAGCUAGGUCUGCUCACCGGCCGCCCACACAACGUGCAGGAGUUCCCGGGGAGAUGGCCCAUGACCCCUGGGGGCAUAGGUUUAGUCCGGCAUGCUUGACCUCUCUAUUAAGCCUAGGUCGGGUUGCGGCGUAUUGUUUGGCCGAGGCAGGGCAUGACCGAGGAAAGUGUGUUCGGCCGGAGUUAAUCGAGCGUGGUGGGUAAGUUGGUGCACCCCUGCAGGGAAGAAAACAUCUAUCAAUAGCUCGUCCUACGGUAACGGACACUUGGAGUUGUAUCCCGAUCGAUACAACUAAAACUGGAUACUUGUGAUGAGAAUUGGAUUGUGAUGAGGUGAUAACUGGAUGGUAUGGCUCUGGGAUUGCUUUCUCACAGGGAGUCGAGAAAGGAUCUCUGGCCGAGGUUGAUAACACUACUACUACUUUACUUUAUGCUACUCUACUCCCUCCUGUUUGCUGCAAGAUGGUGGUUUCCUGAAGAUGCUAGUCUUUGAUAGGACUAGGCCUUCUCUCUAUUCUGGCAUUUCUGCAGCCCAGUCCACAUAUACAGCCCCUCUUUGAUAAUGUUGCAUAUGUAGUGUAGAUCCUUGCUUGCGAGUACUUUGGAUGAGUACUCACGGUUGCUUGCUCCCCCUUUUCCCCCUUUCUUCUUCUUUCCGGUUGAUGCAACCAGAUGUCGGAGCCCAGGAUCCAGACGCCACCUUUGACGACGACUGCUACUACCACGAGGGUGCCUACUACUACGUGAAGACCGCUGACGACUAGGAAUAGUUAGGAGGCUCCCAGGCAGGAGGCCUUGCCUUUUCGAUCGUAGAUGCUUUUGUGCUAGCCUUCUUAAGGCAAACUUGUCUAACCUAUGUGUGUACUCACAUAUUGUUGCUUCCGCUGACUCUUGUGUAUUUGAGCUUAUGUAUUCGAGCCCUCGAGGCCCCUGGCUUGUAAUAUAAAGCUUGUAUUAUUUUAAUUUGUGUCUAGAGUUGUGUUGUGACAUCUUCCCGUGAGUCCAUGAUCUUGAUCAUACACAUUUGCGUGUAUGAUUAGUGUACGAUUGAAUCGAGGGUGUCACAAGUUGGUAUCAGAGCCGACUACCUGUAGGUAGCCCCCUUUCCAAUUCCUUGGCCGAAGUUGAGUCUAGUCACUAAAAAACUUGUACUAACAUUGGCUGUGUGUCUUACGGGCCCACAUCGCCAUUGGGUGGUAUUAGGAUCUUUUACUCCUCGUCUAUACUCUAGGACUCUUAACUCUCUUCUACUCGGGUUAAAUGAAUUUACUAACUCUAACAUUAGGAUCCCGUGACCACAUUCACCCCAAAGUUGGAUAAGCCAUAGUUAUUCCUUAGAAUAGCCUCUUGAAUAGUACACACACCGUCGAGUUGACUACUAUGUGGUAUCCAUCAUACCUCUUUCUUUAUGCAUGUUUCAUCAUGAAUGAUCCUUGUAUUUGCAAAUGCUCAAUGCUGAACUACCCCCUGUUACAUGUCAGCAGGAUGGUUAGACCCGCUGGUCGUGGCCAUGGUGCCAACGAUCCACCACCACCCGAAUUCUUUGCCGGAAUGAUGCAGCAAUUUGAGCUGAACCGCCAGUUCAUGGAAGGAAUGAUGGCUCAGUUUCCUUGUCCGAACAUGAAUCAGCAGCCAACCCCAGUAACUCUGCACGACUUCAUGCGCCUCAACCCAACUAUUUACCGCAACUCAACUCAGCCCCUCGAUGCUGAUGACUGGCUCCGCGACAUCACAUAUGAAAUGGAGUCUGCUAGUGUGGCCCCUGCUAGCUAUGUCACCUUUGCAUCAUUCUUUCUGAAGGGUCCCGCUGCUCAAUGGUGGGACAGCCAUAGGCAUACUCUACCUGUUGGAACAGUCAUCACUUGGCCGGAUUUCCAAGCUGCCUUCCGUGCUCGUUUUAUUCCUCAGGGAAUCAUGGACAAGAAGAAGCGCGAGUUCCACAACCUCACCCAAGGAAAUAAGGCUGUAGAUGCUUAUCAGUGGGAAUUUCUAGACUUGUCACGUUAUGCUGAAGAAGACAUUGCAACUGAUGCUCGUAAGCAAGAGAAGUUUCGUGACGGACUUCACCCGUAUAUCAAGCUAGCACUGCUCGUUCAUGACUUUGCUGAUUUCGCCACUUUGGUGAACAAGGCUAUUCAGGUUGAGACUGGUCUUCAGGAACACCAGGGAUCCCUCAGCGCAGCCGUGACGCUGGCUCAUCUUCGGGCCCGUCAGCACAGAAGCGUCGGAUAUGGAUCCCCCACAGCAUGUAUCAUCCAACUGCACCUGCUCCAAGACAUUCCUAUGUUGCACCUCGUCUACCUCCUCCACCGCAAAGGCAACCUCUUCGAGCUGUACCACCCAAAGCUCCUGAUCCCAACCCCAAUGAUGGUCUAUGCUUCAAGUGUGGCCUUCCAGGUCACCGCUCCAGGAAAUGUCCUCAGAAUCAGAAUCAACUCGCUCUUCCUGCUGCUGGUCGUGGUAACAAUCAACCCCGCAACAACAAUGCCCGACCUUAUGGUUGUGGGCAGGCUAACAACAUUGAUCUGAAUGAAGCUCAAGACCAGCCUGCUACUGUGAUGGGUACUCUCCUUGUUAAUUCAGUACCAGCUUCUGUUUUAUUCGAUUCAGGAGCAUCACAUUCAUUCAUGUCAGAAAAUUUUGCAUACGCACAUGACAUUCGAUGUGAGCCCAUGAACACUCUGAUAGUGGUACGCACCCCUGCGGGUCAGUGUUGAACUACCAUGAUUGGUCGCGACGUCCCCGUUGAAAUUGAAGGGUUGGAAUUUCAUGUUUCUCCCAUUAUUCUGGAGUCUUCCAAUAUUGACCUCAUUCUGGGAAUGGAAUGGUUGAAAGCACAAUACUGCCUCUAUCGUUUGCACCACCAAAGUCAUUCAUCUCCUACAUCCUUCCGAUGAGAUAGUAAGCUACCAUGCUCAGAUUGUUCAAAACGCUGAAGCAUGACUUUAUGCUUUGAAUGCGUUGAAUGCAGCACCUCUUGAGGGAAUUGAAAAGAUUCCAGUCGUUCGCGACUUCCAAGACGUAUUUCCAUAAGAACUUCUAGGAAUACCCCAUGCCCGGGCUGUCGAGUUCGUCAUCGACUUGAAACCAGGCACCGUUCCUAUUGCCAAACGACCCUACAAGAUGCCACCUCAUGAACUCCUUGAACUUAAGGAGGAAAUCGACAAAUCUCUUCGUAGUAGUUUCAUUCGUCCAAGUUUCUCUGCUUGGGGAGCACCUUCUCUCUUCGUCAAGAAGAAGGACGGAACGAACCGUCUAGUCCAAGACUACCGUCCUAUCAACCAAGCUACAAUUCAGAACAAAUAUCCCCUUCCUCGGAUCAAUGAUCUGUAUGAUCAACUAGCUGGUUCAUCGAUAUUCUCUAAACUUGACUUGAGGUUGGGUUACCACCAGAUCCGUGUUCGUGAAGAGGAUAUUCCAAAGACUGCAUUCGUCACUCGUUAUGGUUCUUACGAGUACACAAUUAUGUAUUUUGGCUUAACCAAUGCUCCAGCUACAUUCUCUCGUCUGAUGAACUAUAUAUUCAUGGAUUACCUCGACAAGUUUUUCGUAGUCUAUCUGGAUGAUAUACUAGUAUAUUACCGAAAAAAUCUUUCGCCCCGCUUUAUAUAUAAAGCACCAAACCACAAAGACCAUGAUAGAAACUCACGCCACCACCGCACAUGACACACACACCCAAGGCAAGAUACAAGGGUGCCGGGCACCGCCACACCACCCCAACGACUACCAAGCCACUACAAAUGCGCGAGGACAAACUGCUUGGAGCCACCAGAGACCUCCUCCUCCGAGGGGAGGUGAGACGGGAAUGACUGAACCAGGACUCCAAGAUGGUGCCUCCAAGAAGGGAACGACCACGAUAGCCGCCACCAUCCGAUCCCAAAGAUCGGGUUUUCACCCGGAGCAACUCGAAGGAGAAAGGCCACUGCAACGGAGCCUACAGGAAGGAUACGGUGUCCACGGACGCCGCCACCGUCAGCCAAUACAAGAUUGGGCAGGUAAUGAACCCCAGCACGCCCACCCCUCCGAAGCAACCUAGCUCCGUCAACCACCAGCGACCACCCACCCACGUGGCCGUGGCCGCUCGCCCGCACCGAGGCGCAAGUCCCGCCCACGAACUUCGUGCCUCCCACCGCCGGGGCCGCCGCCCUGCAUCCAGACACCCCCAGGACCGACCAAAGUGAUCAGCUUGGGCCAAAGGGCGCACCCGACCGAAGAAACCGCGGCAUACAUCCCGCCUCGAACAACGCCGGAGUUGCGUCAGCCCACACAUGGCUGGGGAACGGGGGAGGAGGGGGAGCGGACGCAUCCGGGCCGGCACACCCCUGUGCCAGCGACGGGUGGCCCGGGCUCGGCGGCGCCUCCCGUCCCUCCAGCCUGCCUCCCCACCGGACAACUCGGUAUCGCCCCACCUCGGCGGCGACCGCAGCUCCACUCGAGGCCACCAACAUACACCCGCCCACCGGCAAGGAGAGAUCCCGAGGGCCGCCACCAAUCGCGAAGGAAGCUCACUGAGGAGCCCAUCUGCGCGGCCCACCGUCGUCCAGCCGCCGAAGCUUCGGAUCCCGGCCAGCCCGCCCACCAGCCAACCGCUGCCGCGUCGCACCACCACUCGCCGUGGCCAUGGCAGGGGCAGAGACUAGCAGCCCGCACCGCCCUUGGCCCGUGCCGCCAGGUCCCAGAUCCGGCCUCGACCCGCGCCGAAGGACCCGGAUCUGGCGACCAAGGCACGCCCACCACCGCCGCGCCGGUCACGCCGCCGCCACGAAGCCGUCGCCAUCAGGCUCCAGCUCGCCGCCGUGCUGCCAUGCCCGCCACCAGCACCGCAUCCCAGGCGGCCGCCGCGACCCGCGCCGGAGGCCCCCACCAAGGAGACAAGGCAGCCCUGCCGCCGCCGGCGCCUACCAGGCUUCGCCCGGCGCGCCCUCUUUGGCGGCGACGAGGGAGAGGAAGGAGGAGGAGGGGAAGCCCGCCGGCGGCGCUAGGGUUUCUCCCGAGACGCGCGCGCGGGGCGCGUCGCGGGAGCGAGAGGGAGGAGGGGAUCGCGUCGGAAUUUCCUUUUUUCGUCGAAGAAUAAAGAAGAACAUGCUAAACAUCUUCGUCUUGUUCUGGAGAAGCUCCGAGAACAUCAACUUUAUGCCAAGUAUUCCAAGUGUGAAUUCUGGUUACCCGAAGUCACCUACCUUGGUCAUGUCAUCUCCAAGGAUGGUAUUGCCGUCAACCCAGAGCGUGUUCAGGCUAUUCUUGACUGGACCCCUCCGAAGACUGUCAAGCAAGUCAGAAGCUUUCUCGGACUAGCCAGGUAUUGUCGCAGCUUUGUCGAUAACUUCUCCAAGAUCGCCAAGCCACUUACCAAUCUGCUACACAAAGGCGUUAAGUUUGAUUGGAUUGAAAAGUGUCAGGAAAGUUUCCAGGCACUCAAGGACAAGCUGACAUCUGCCCCAGUGCUUGCUCCCCCUGAUUCUCGCAAGGACUUCGUCAUCUAUUGCGACGCUUCACGACAAGGACUAGGAUGUGUCCUAAUGCAAGAGCAUAGAGUGAUUGCUUAUGCCUCCCGUCAAGUGCGUCCUCACAAAGAGAACUACCCAGUUCAUGACCUCGAGCUUGCUGCGGUUAUCUUUGCACUGAAGCUAUGGCGACAGUACCUUCUCGGUAACCGUUGCGAGAUCUUCACCGAUCAUCAGAGUCUGAAGUACCUGUUUACUCAGCCAGAUCUGAACUCCAUCAGCAGCGAUGGAUGGAAGCUAUUGCUGACUACAACUGCGGUAUAUCUUAUACCCCUGGUAAGGCUAAUGUAAUGGCCGAUGCCCUGAGCCGUAAGUCUUACUGCAACAAUCACAUGGUCUACAAAUCUCAACCCCGCCUUUAUAAAGAGCUAUGCAAGCUAAACCUUCAACUAGUUCCAUAGGGUUCUGAUGUAGGGUGGAACCCUAUGUGGACGAUCUUUCAUGUUUGGAGUGGAUCCUACGGGAAAUCACGAAGAACACGCGGAAGCACAAAGGGGAACACGGAGGAAACGAGAGGGAAAUCACUCAACCAACAAGGAAUCAAUCACACAAGUGCUAGAUCACCGAACACAAAGAGAUACAUAUGAUCCACAAUCAACAAAGGUAAGGAUACAAAGGAACCGUUCUUCUCCGUGAGGAGGCCUUGAAAUCCACGAGGGGAUCUUCUCACGAGGGGGUCUUGAAUCCGAUAGGAUCUUCUCCGAGGAGGCCGCGGUCUCUCACGAGGAGGAGAUCCGGUGGAUGAGCGAAUAUCUAUCUCUAACUUGAGCUAAAUCAACACUAAAUCUAAUUAGGAGGAGGUGGAGGAGUAUAUAUAGUCUAGGGCCACGAAGGGGUAAGUGAAGGGGUACAUGGGCUGCGGCCCAACACACUGUGCGCAGAUAGGUGUCGGACGUCCGGAGGGUUCCGGUCGUCCGGAGGCUCGGGAAGGUCCGGACGUCCGGUGCUCUUCGGACUUCCGUAGAUUCGGCUCGGGUGCACUUCGGUCGGACGUCCGGAGGGGGCCGGUCGUCCGGAGGCUCGCGGGGUCCCGGACAUCCGAAGUUCUUCGGAUGUCCGCAUAUUCGGUUCGGUGGUCGCUGGCACGGUCGUCCGGAGGGGGCCGGUCGUCCGGAGCCUGGGAGUCGUCGGACGUCCGGUCCUGGUCGGACGUCCGGCCGCUGUAGCUUCGGGCAGCUUCUUCUCUUGGUCCUUGUACUUGGUGUCCUUGCCGUCUUGUCCAUGGUCUUCCUCCUUGUUCCUGGUCAUGCAUAGCACAUAUAUAUGAGGUAGUAACCAUGUCUCACAUGUGGGAAGUGAAGGUUCAGAGAGGAGCGAGUUCACCUUGUGUCCAAUGGCGUAUAGUUGAGGUCUCGUCACAAGUCCUCUUAGGGUUUGGAGAGUAGUCGGAGUGUACAUGGGGAUGAACGUGGGAUGCUCCGCAUCAGGUUCUCUGAAUAACCUUGUCCUGGAACCAACUCUUCUCAAAGCAAUUAAGUCUGCUCAAGCCAAAGAUGCACAUGUUGAUCUGAUGAAAAAGGAUCUUGACUUAGAGAAAUCCAGAGAUUUCUCACUUGGUGAAGAUGGAACCUUAUACUUCAGAGAUCGCAUUGUAGUGCCCCGGUUCAAGCUUAUGACAGAGAAGGUGAUGAAAGAAGUGCAUGACACCCCUCUCUCUAUUCAUCCGGGAAGUACCAAGAUGUAUCUAGACAUUCGUCAGAAGUAUUGGUGGUCUAAGAUGAAGCAAGACAUUGCUCGAUAUAUUGAAGAAUGUGACGUUUGUCGUCGCGUCAAAGCAGAACAUCAGAAACCGGCUGGACUUCUACAACCGCUUCCGAUUCCUGAAUGGAAGUGGGAUAAGAUCCAAAUGGAUUUUGUCACAGGCCUUCCCAAGUCUCAGAAAGGUAAUGAUGCUAUCUUUGUCGUCAUCGACCAAUUCUCGAUGGUUGCUCACUUUCUGCCAGUCAAGGAGACAAUCACUGCUAGUCAAUUAGCAAACUUGUAUAUCUCUUGAAUUGUGUCACUCCAUGGCAUUCCGAAGGAGAUCAGUUCAGACCGCGGCAGUAUAUUCACUUCAAAGUUCUGGGAUAGUUUCCAAGAGGAAAUGGGAACUCAUAUUACCUGGAGCACUGCUUAUCAUCCCCAAUCCCAAGGACAAGUCAAGCGAGUCAAUCAAAUUCUUGAAGAGAUCCUUCGAGCUUGUGUUAUUUCUUUUGGAAAGAAGUGGGAAGAAUCUCUCCCUUAUGCGGAGUUCUCUUAUAACAACAGCUAUCAAGCCAGCUUGAAGAUGUCACACUUCAAAGUGCUAUAUGGACGUAAGUGCCAAACCCCUCUGAAUUCGUCAAAAACUGGGGAAUGAACGCUCAUUAGUCGAGACAUUAUUCAACAAGCUGAAGAGCAGGUUCACAUUGUCCGGGAUAAUCUCAAGGCGGCCCAGUCCCGCCAGAAGAGCAACUAUGACCAGAAAACACUAGGGUUCAACUUAUCAACCUGGUGAACAAGCUUAUUUGCGUGUCACUCCUUUGAGAGGCACUCAUCGGUUCGGAGUCAAGGCAAGCUAGCUCUGCGCUACAUUGGUCCUUUCCGCAUUCUCUCCCAUCAAGGACUGGUGGCUUAUCAAUUGGAGUUGUCACCUCAGUUCUCUCACGUCCAUGACGUCUUCCACGUGUCGCAACUUCGUCGAUGUUUCAAGGAUCCGGAACGUGAAGUGGAUCCGGAAUUGAUUGAAGUUCAAGAUGAUCUCACAUACAAAGAGCAUCCAAUCCGCAUUCUUGAAGAAGCUGAACGUCGAACCCGCCAGAAGGUUACUGAUACGUCUCCAAUGUAUCUACUUUUCCAAACACUUUUGCCCUUGUUUUGGACUCUAACUUGCAUGAUUUGAAUGAAACUAACUCGGACUGACGUUGUUUUCAGCAGAACUGCCAUGAUGUUGUUUUAUGUGUAGAAACGAAAAGUUCUCGGAAUGUCUUGGAAAUCCAUGGAGGCAAUUUUAAGAAUUAAUAAGAAUUUCUAGGCGAAAGAAAUACACCAGGGGGCCCACACCCUGUCCAUGAGAUAGCCCCCCCCUAGGGCGCGUCCUCCUAUCUCGUGGGCCCCCUGGACCUCCAUCGACCUCAACUCCAACUCCCAUAUAUUCACGUUUGGGGAGAAAAAAAUCAGAGAGAAAGUUUCAUCGCGUUUUACGACACAGAGCCACCGCCAAGCCCUAAUCUCUCUCGGGAGGGCUGAUCUGGAGUCCAUUCGGGGCUCCGGAGAGGGGGAUUCAUCGCCGUCGUCAUCAUCAACCAUCCUCCACCAAUUUCAUGAUGCUCACUGCCGUGCGUGAGUAAUUCCAUCGUGGGCUUGCUGGACGGUGAUGGGUUGGAUGAGAUUUACCAUGUAAUCAAGUUAGUUUUGUUAGGGUUUGAUCCCUAGUAUCCACUAUGUUAUGAGAUUGAUGUUGCUAUGACUUUGCUAUGCUUAAUGCUUAUCACUAGGGCCCGAGUGCCAUGAUUUCAAAUCUGAACCUAUUAUGUUUUCAUGAAUAUAUGUGUGUUCUUGAUCCUAUCUUGCAAGUCUAUAGUCACCUAUUAUGUGUUAUGAUCCGACAACCCCGAAGUGACAAUAAUCGGGAUACUUCUCGGUGAUGACCGUAGUUUGAGGAGUUCAUGUAUUCACUAUGUGCUAAUGCUUUGUUCCGGUUCUCUAUUAAAAGGAGGCCUUAAUAUCCCUUAGUUUCCGCUAGGACCCCACUGCCACGGGAGGGUAGGACAAAAGAUGUCAUGCAAGUUCUUUUCCAUAAGCACGUAUGACUAUUUACGGAAUACAUGCCUACAUUACAUUGAUGAACUGGAGCUAGUUCUAUGUCACCCUAUGUUAUAGCUAUUACAUGAGGAAUCGCAUCCGACAUAAUUGUCCAUCACUGAUCCAUUGCCUACGAGCUUUUCAUAUAUUGUUUUUCGCUUAUUUACUUUUCCGUUGCUACUGUUACAACUACUACAAAAACCCAAAAUUAUUAUCUUUACUUUUGCUACCGUUACCUUUAUUAACAUACCACUUUUGCUACUAAAUACUUUGCUAUAGAUACUAAGUUAUCCAGGUGUGGUUGAAUUGACAACUCAACUGCUAAUACUCAAGAAUAUUCUUUGGCUCCCCUUGUGUCGAAUCAAUAAAUUCGGGUUGAAUACUUUACCCUCGAAAGCUGUUGCGAUCCCCUACACUUGUGGGUUAUCAAGACUAAUUUCUGGCGCCCUUGCCGGGGAGCAUAGCUCUAUUCUCCGACUAACUUGGGAUUUAUAUCUGUUGAUCACUAUGAAGAACUUGAAAGACGAUAGAACUAUGAUCUAUCCCUCAACUACGAGGGGAGGUAAGGAACUGCCAUCUAGCUCUGCACUAGAUUCUCCUUCUAUUAUUAGUAAGCUUGCGACACCUAAACCUGCUACUGCUACGAGUUCUGAUAUGUCACAUGUUAUUGAUGAUGCCACUUCUGCUAUGCAUGAUGAAACUACUUCUGUGCAUGAUACUACUUUGCCAUUAGGUGAAUUUCUUGAUGAACAACUUGCUAGAGUUAGGGGGAAUGAAAUUAUUAAAGAUGCUAUUAUUGAUGACAGUGAUGAUGAAGGUUCUGCCAAUGAUUAUGAAUUACCUAUUGUUCCUGAGGGUUAUGUUAUGAAUGAAGAAGCUGCUAGAGCUAUAUUUGCUUGCAAUGAUAGAUAUGAUCUUAAGAAAUUAUUAGCUAAAUGGAAGCAGUAGUCUCUUAAUGCUAGAAUGAAACCUGACCCUGCUUUUGCUACUUCACCUAUUUGUGUCACUGAUAAGGAUUAUGAAUUCUCUGUUGAUCCUGAAAUUAUUACUUUAGUUGAAUCUGAUCCUUUUUAUGGCCUUGAAUCUGAAACUGUUGUGGCACAUCUUACCAAGUUGAAUGAUAUAGCCACCCUAUUUACUAAUGAUGAGAAGUCUCGCUAUUAUUAUAUCCUUAAGAUAUUUCCAUUCUCAUUAAAGGGUGAUGCUAAGACUUGGUAUAAUUCUCUUGCUCCUGGUUGUGUGCGUAGUCCCCAGGAUAUGAUUUAUUACUUCUCUGCUAAAAAUUUCCCUGCUCAUAAGAAACAAGCUGCCUUGCGGGAAAUAUAUAAUUUUGUGCAAACCAAAGGAGGGAGUCUCCCACAAGCUUGGGGGAGGCUUCUCCGAUUACUCAAUGCUUUGCCUGAUCAUCCUCACAAGAAAAAUGAAAUAGUUGAUAUAUCUUUUAUAAUGGGCUAACUGAUGCUUCCAAGGACUACUUGGAUAGUUGUGCUGGUUGUGUUUUCAAGGAAAGAACAGUCGACGAAGCUGAAAUAUUAUUGAAUAAUAUGUUGACUAAUGAAAAUAAUUGGACUCUUCUUGAGCCAAUUCCUGAAGCAAUUGAGCCAAUUCCUGAGCCUAUUCCUAAACCCACUCCGAAGAAGAGAGGUGUUUUAUUUCUCAGUCCUGAAGAUAUGCAAGAGGCAAAGAAAUCAAUGAAAGAAAAAGGUAUUAAAGCUGAAGAUGUUAAGAAUUUACCACCUAUUGAAGAAAUACAUGGUCUUAAUAUACCACCUGUUGAAGAACCACAUUGUCUUGAUAACCUGACACAGGUAGUAAAGGUAAAUUCUCUCUAUAGAUAUGAUAAAGUUAAAAUUCCCUCUACUAAAUUUCGUAGCCCUUGCUUAGAUGAAUUUGAUGACUUUAUGGCUAGACAAGAAAGUUUUAAUGCUUAUAUUGGUAGCGAGUUAAAGAAUAAUGCUUUCGAGAUAGGAUGCGUAGGCGAUAAUAUAGCUAGAGUUAAAGAUGAACUCAAACUCGUUAGCAAAUAUGCUUCUAUGGUUGCUACCCAAGCUGAGCAAGUACUUAAAGCUCAAAAUGAUUUGCUUGAUGUAUUAAAUAAUAAAAAUGACUAUGCUGUUAGAGUGGCUACUAGAACUGGUAGAAUGACUCAGGAACCUUUGUAUCCUAAAGGCCACCCUAGGAGAAUCGAGCAAGAUUCUCAGAGAAACAAUUUAGAGGCACCUAGUUCUUCUAAAAAGAAGAAGAAGAAAAACGAUAAAACUUUGCAUGCUUCUAGUGAACAUAUUGUAGACACACCUGAGAAUCCCAAUGAUAUUUCUAUUUCUGAUGCUAAAACACAAUCAGGUGAUGAACAUGAACCUAGUGAUAAUGUCAAUGAUAAUGUUCAUGUUGAUGCUCAACCUAGCAAAAACAAUGAAGUAGAAAUUGAACCUGCUGUUGAUCUUGAUAACCCACAAUCAAAGAAUCAACGUUAUGAUGAGAGAGAUUUUGUUGCUAGGAAGCACGGUACAGAAAGAGAACCAUGGGUUCAGAAACCCAUGCCCUUUCCUCCUAAACCAUCCAAGUCAAAGGAUGAUGAGGAUUUUGAGCGCUUUGCUGAAAUGGUUAGACCUAUUUUCUUACGUAUGCACUUAACUGAUAUACUCAAAGUAAAUCCUUAUGCUAAGUAUAUGAAGGAUAUCAUUACAAAUAAAAGAAAGAUACCGGAAGCUGAAAUUUCCACCAUGCUUGCUAAUUACACUUUUAAGGGUGGAAUACCAAAGAAACUUGGAGAUCCGGGUGUGCCAACUAUACCAUGCUCCAUUAAAAUAAAUUAUGUUAGAACUGCUUUAUGUGAUCUUGGAGCCCAUGUUAGUGUUAUGCCUCUCUCGUUAUAUCGUAGACUUUAAUUGAAUAAGUUGACACCUACUGAAAUAUCUUUGCAAAUGGCUGAUAAAUCAACUACUAUACAUGUCGGCAUUUGUGAGGAUGUGCCUAUUGUGGUUGCAAAUGUCACUAUCUUAACGGACUUUGUUAUUCUUGAUAUUCCCGAUGAUGAUAGUAUGUCUAUUAUCCUUGGUAGACCUUUUCUUAAUACUGCAGGGGCUGUUAUUGAUUGCAACAAAGGCAAUGUCACUUUUCAUGUUAAUGGUAAUGAGCAUACGGUACACUUUCCGAGGAAACAGUCUCAAGUUCAUAGCAUCAAUUCUAUUGGAAAGGUUCCAACUAUUAUUAUUGGAGGUUUUGAAUUUCCUCUCCCUACUGUCAAGAAAAAGUAUGAUAUUCUUAUUGUUGGGGACUUUCAUAUCCCCAUUGAGGUAACUUAGUGUUAUUCGAAAUUUCUCCGGUUCCGUGUUAUUCGGAAUGAGUUUGUUAACAAGACUUGAUCAACCUUGUUAGUGGAUUCAUUUUAAUGAUCACGAGAUGGAUGGAACUAGAAGGCACAACCUUCUGCACCCUCUUUUUACUUUCUGUUAUUUAGAAUAAAUAAACCAAAAAUAGUAUUAUCUGUCUGUUUUUUGAAUUAUCCGUGCAUUAAAAAAUAGUCCGAAAAUAAAAGUGCUCCAAAUGCCCUGCAAAUUUAGUAUGAUUUUUUCUGGAAUAUUUGAGGAUUUUAGGCACUGAAAUCACUGCAGGAGGGGCAAGCACCAGGCCACGAGAGUGGAGGGUGCCCCCCCUAUAGGGCGCGCCCCUGUCUCGUGGGCCCCUUGUGGCCCCCUCCACUUAUGCCAGCACCCACACACUUCGUUUUCUACCCAAAAAAAAUCCCCAUCCAGCUCAAGCACGAGUUCUAGCUCAUUUUGCUGCGAUUUUCGAUCUCCUGCUCAAAGCUCCAUUUACAAAACUGCUUUGGGAGAUUGUUGCUUGGUAUGUGACUCCUCCAUUGGUCCAAUUAGUUUUUGUUCUAGUGCUUUAUUCAUUGCAAAUUUUUGCUGCAUAGGUGACCAUGUUCUUGAGCUUGCAUGUUAAAUUUAUGAGGUCCCAAGCAAUUCCAAUGCAUGAUAUAGGCUCUAGGCACUUGUAGGAUUAGUUGCUACCAAUCUUGUUAAGUUUUAUUCACUUUUAUUUUGAAGUUACUAAAAUUUCAGAAAUGUUUCAGAAAAAGAAUUAUGUCUAGGAGAAUGUACCAAGGUGGUCCCUCGGUGAAGAAAGGGCCCAGGAUUGCUAUACGUGAGCAAGAUGUCGAAUUGCCGAGGGACGUGGAUGCAUGAGCUUGUGAGUGGCCAUCCGAUGAUUUUAUGGUCGAAGUAGGCUUCAAGGAGGAAUUUGACGUGUAUGUGCAUAAUGCCGAGCUGGAGGACUUCUUACAAGAUAAGUGUCCGCAGUACUAUCAGUUGACUGAUUCUUUUGUGCGGAGGUUUAAAUAUAACUGUGCGCGUAAUUCUCCUAGUGUCAUAUUUGAUAUUUAUGAUACAUCUUAUACCAUGGAUUUAGAGGAUUUUACAACUGCUUGCAGACUCCGGUAGUGGGGUAAUAUUAAUGAUCCUCACAAAUCUGAAUUUAGAGAUUUUCUUGCUGGUAUCACUGUGGGAGAAUCUAGGGACAUAGCACAAGCCACCAUAGGGAGCAUUCAUUUUCCUGCUAUGCAUUAUUUUGCUCUCUUUAUUGGUAGAUGCAUUAAUGGUAAGGAUGAAGCAUGUCACAUGUGUGUCCCUGAUCUGUGUGUCCUCAAGAGUGCUGUGUUAGGUUAUAAAUGUUAUAACUUGGGGGCAAUAGUUGCACGUAGGUUGCAGAAUAAUAGUAGAAAGGGAAAUUUAUUUGGAGGAAUUUAUGCAACCCGUGUGGCUAAUUAUCUUAAUAUAGCCCCACGAGAGGGGGAUAUGAUUUUACCUCCUGUUUAUUUGGAUAAAGAAGCUAUGUUCAAUCAUCAAUUUCUUGCGAGGAAUGAACAAUUCCUCCAAUAUUGACUAACCUAUGACAGACGCAUCGUCGUCCCUGUUACUCUUCCUGCUCCCUACCUUUUUGAUUAUCAGGCAAAAGGAAGAUAUGUUGUCACCAGGGAGGAAGCAGCUGAACACGAGAGGAGAGCGGAGGCAACUCGCCAACACGCCGUAGCUCAGGAGGCGGUUGCCGCUGCAUCUCAGUACGACCCCGGUUUCACUUAUGGAUAUCAGCCAGGCGGUCCUUGGUACUAGACCAACUUAGGCCAAAAGCCUAAGCUUGGGGGAGUACGUAUUUCUCACCGACUUUACAUUCAUGUUCACGGUGCUCAUACUCUUUCAUUGCAUUAUCCAUGCUAGUUUAAUUUUCUUUUUUCUAGUUUUCUUCUUGUGUGUUUGAUAAACUUUAAGAAAAACAAAAAAAA